rnacentral:rRNA from 1 species
UACAGAGGGUGCAAGCGUUAAUCGGAAUUACUGGGCGUAAAGCGAGCGUAGUCGGUUAUUUAAGUCGGAUGUGAAAUCCCCGGGCUCAACCUGGGAAUUGCAUUCGAUACUGGAUAGCUAGAGUUCGGCAGAGGGAAGCGGAAUUUCGGGUGUAGCGGUGAAAUGCGUAGAUAUCAGGAGGAACACCGGUGGCGAAGGCGGCUAUCUGGACAGAAACUGACGCUGAGGCGCGAAAGCUAGGGGAGCAAACGGG